rnacentral:rRNA from 1 species
GAUGAACGCUGGCGGCGUGCCUAACACAUGCAAGUCGAGCGAACAGACCAUGAUCUUGCUCCUCUGUCGUUAGCGGCGGACGGGUGAGAAACACGUGUAUAAUCUACCUAUAAUACUGGGAUAACUUCGGGACACCGGAUCAAACCCCGUAUAAUAUAUUGCACCACAUUGUUCAUUGGUGAAAUUCGGUUUUUCUGGCUCUACUCGCUGGAUCCCCGCCUCAUUAUCUAGUUGGUACGGUAACGGCUUAUCAAGGCAACGAUGCGUAGCCGACGGGAGAGGGUGAUCGGCCACACUGGAGCUGAGACACGGUCAAGACUCCUACGGGAGGCAGCAGUAGGGAAUCGUCCGCAGUGGGCGGAAGCCUGACGGAGCAACGCGGCGUGAGUGAUGAAGGUCUUCGGAUCGUAAAACUCUGUUAUUAGUGAAGAACAAAUGUGUAAGUAACUAUGCACGUCUUGACGGUACCUAAUCAGAAAGCCACGGCUAACUACGUG